UUAUUUUUCGAUCUAAACCCCUCUCUCUCUCGAGCCAAAAGAAACCCUAGCUCUCCUCCGUCUCUCGCGGUUAAAAAAAUAAAAAUGAAAUUUUAAAAAAUUAUCUGAAACUAAUUACUAAAAUCGACAAAUCUGUUGGGGUUACAAUUUAAAAUUCACAUUUGAAAACCUAAUCCAUGUUACAUGAGCGUGGUCUUCGCAAUUCUCUCCAGAAAUUGAAGUUUCGGCGCUUGUCGAUCCAGAUCUGAAAAUGUAUGAUGGAAUUUGAAAAUUGGGGGUUUUGGGUAUUAUUGUUUGGACUGAGGAAUUGUUCAUGGAAAAUAGAAUAGGAAAUUCUCAUGAAGCGGAAAUUCCUAAGAAAUCAAGAUCUUUGGAUCUUAGAAGUCUUUACCAGUCCUCUGAGGGUUCAAAGGAGGCACAAAUAAAAAACUUGAAGAGAAAAGGUGGUAGUGAUGUAGAUAAUAGUGGUUUUGAAAAGAGAAAGAAAAGUAGAAAAGCAGUUUCCAUCAGUAGUUUUAGAAAAGUUAAUGGCAACGGGAGUAAGAGUUUAGAGGAGGUGUAUAAUGGGAGCUUGAGUUCAGGUUCACAUGAUACAAAAGAAAUAAAGUCUGGGUCCUUGAAUCAGCAGCGAGUGAAUAAUAGUAAUAGUGGAGUUAGUAAGAUUUCACAAAAUUUAGAGGGUAGUUUUGAUAAAAUUCCUAGACGCAAACGGGGCUUUGUGGGGCGGAAAAAAGUUGAGAAGGACAGUCAAGUGUUGAAGCCUGCAGAGGAGUCUAGAGAUAAAUUGGAAACUGAUCAGAUUAGUAAGUUAACUGUCAAAGACACGGGCAAGGUGGUUGAAUCUUCGAAGGUUAAACAGAAGAAAGUUUCUGAUGAUUUUAAAGAAAACAGAAUUAGUGAAAGGAGUUCAGGUAGGCAUUGUGAGGAAGAUGGGCAUACUGGUCAUUCAGUUGCAAGAAGUGUUGUUCUCUCGCUGUGGAAGUCUCAGACUGGCCACUCUGUUGAAAUUGAUGAUGAUUCUUCUAAAAAGAAGUCACUUAGGAAACGAAGUAGAAAAAGGAAGAAUUUGAUAUCUGAAGAUAAGAGUGUCGCUAAGGAGGCUGAGCCGUCAGUUGAUGCUGAAGUAAGUUGUGAUUUGCAUGAUGAUGAUGAGGAGAACCUUGAAGAGAAUGCAGCAAGGAUGCUAUCAUCAAGGUUUGAUACAAGCUGUACUGGAUUUUCUUCAAAUAGCAAAGCCUCUCCUGUGCCAUCUACAAAUGGUUUGUCAUUUUUGUUAUCAUCUGGUCAGGAAUUUGCAACACAUGGGCCAAAUUAUAUCUCAGGAUCUGAAUCCGCAUCUCUUGACGCUGCUGCUAGAAUAUUGCGACCAAGGAAACAGCACAAGGAAAAGGGUAGCUCAAGAAAACGGCGCCACUACUAUGAAAUUUUCUCUGGGGACUUGGACGCAUACUGGGUGUUGAACCGGAGAAUUAAGGUCUUUUGGCCUCUGGACCAGAGUUGGUAUUAUGGUCUUGUAAAUGACUAUGAUAAUGUGAGAAAGCUUCAUCAUGUAAAAUAUGAUGAUCGGGAUGAGGAAUGGAUUAAUCUCCAAGAUGAGAGAUUUAAACUCUUGCUGCUUCCUAGUGAAGUUCCAGGUAAGCCUCAAAGAAAAAGAUCUAGGACAAAAGAGAAGAUCUCUAAGGGCGGGAAGGGAAAAUUGAAACCUAGCAAAGAGAAGAGAGACUCAACUAUUGAGGAUGACAGCUAUGUAGGGAAUUACAUGGAUUCAGAGCCUAUCAUCUCAUGGUUGGCUCGAUCUACUCAUAGAGUCAAAUCUUCUCCUUUACGUGCCCUGAAGAAACAGAAAGUUUCUGGCAUAUCUCUGACUUCUGCACCAUCACUAUUGCCUGAAGAAGCUGUGUGUAGAAACGAGUGUUCAGAGGGUGAUUUGUUGAGCAGGGAUAAAAGCAAUUUAUCUGGUAAUUCUGCCUUGCCAGGCAGGUUUACAGCUGGUGGAAGGGAUGAGGUGCCUGACAUUAGUCCCAAAGAUAACAAGCUUCCUGUUGUUUAUUAUAGGAGGCGGUUUCGUUGUGCAAACAGCAUGCCUCGUCAUGCAUCUGAGGAUAACCAUGUUUCUAUUGGUGUUCCAGAGUCUGAUACUUCUCUUGUCCCAGCUGUUUAUGUUUCUAGAGCUUUUGAAAAGCAAGAUAUUUCUCUGGCAAGGGUGGAUCCUGAUAGUGAUUUGGGAAGGUUGGACACUGCAGAGGCUUUAUGGUUGAGUGAUGUUAGAGGGCUUCUAAGACUAAACACUGAGUUGGUAGAACCAAGACAGUUCAGGUUUGGGUUGAGGAUCCCGGUGCUUUCUGUUCACAAUUUCUCUUUCAUUUCAGGCCACACUUGGUUCUGUAAUGCUUUACUGCUGCUUCAGCAUGGUAGGCUGAUGACUACAUGGCCAAGGGUUCAUUUGGAGAUGCUUUUUGUUGAUAAUAUAGUUGGUUUGAGGUUUCUCUUGUUUGAAGGUUGCUUGAAGCAGGCCAUAGCAUUUGUUUUGCAGGUCCUGACUGUAUUUCAUCAACCUACCGAGCAUGGGAAAUUUGUUGAUUUGCAGUUACCGGUCACUUCGAUCAAGUUCAAAUUCUCUUGCAUACAAGAUUUCAGGAAGCAGCUUGUGUUUGCAUUCUACAACUUCUCUGAGUUGAAGAAUUCAAAGUGGAUGCACCUGGACUCUAGGCUCAAAAGGCAUUGUUUACUCACUAAGCAGCUACCUCUAUCAGAAUGUACUUAUGAUAAUGUGAAGGCACUUCAAAAUGGAACCAGUCAGUUACUUGAUUCUUCUGUCUGCAGAGACUCCGCCAGAAUUAAGGGCCCAGUAAAGAGAUUCAGGCAGUGUGUUAGCCUCAUGGGUGUCUCCAGAGAUUCAAAUUAUGUAAAUAGUCCAUCUUCUUCUUCUAGAUUUGACAAAUCUCAUGGAUGGUUCCCUCCAUUUGCACUUUCUUUUACUGCUGCGCCUACUUUUUUUCUGAGUUUGCAUCUUAAGCUGCUUAUGGAACACAGUGUCACUCACAUCAGCUUUCAGGAUCAUGAUUCAGUAGAGCAUCCGGAAAACUCUGGUAGUUUACAGGCAGAUGACUGUUACAGUGUAGAUGACUCCUUAAACAAACAUGCAGAAACCACUCCUGAUAAUAAUUCCAAGGGUUCUUCUAGGGAUGUUGAUUGUGAGGAAUGCUUAUUUUGUGCUAACACAGAGCCUCUAGCUGUUGGCGUUUCUGUCAACACUGUUGGAGAUUGGAUGAAGCCCUCUCCAAAGCACCAAAAUAGUGAUGUCCAUGCUGAAACUUCUGCCUUCUCCAAGGAUUCUGGAGAAUUGGGAAGAGAUAUUGCCUCGCUGCAGAAGUGGCGAUGCCACCAUUCAGAGGCGGAACAAAAUGAUGCACUACCAAAACCAUCAGUUGACCGGGCUCUUUUGAAUGGUAUUAGAGUUGAAAUUCCAUCCUCCAAUCAAUUUGAUAAGCAGGUUGACAAGGACUUAGAUGGUGCUCAACAGUCUACUGAUUUGUCUUGGAAUAUGAAUGGUGGCAUUAUCCCCAGUCCAAACCCUACUGCUCGCAGAAGUACCUGGCAUCGAAAUAGAAGUAAUUUGGCAUCUGUUGGGUACAAUGCACAUGGAUGGUCAGAUGGAAGAGGCGACUUUCUCCAGAAUAAUUUUCGUAAUGGACCUAAAAAGCCGCGAACACAAGUCUCUUAUGCGUUACCUUUUGGAGCUUUUGAUUAUAGCUCGAAAAGUAAAGGCCAUUCACAGAAGGGGAUUCCACAUAAACGCAUUAGGACAGCAAAUGAGAAGAGGUCAUCAGAUGUUUCUAGAGGUUCUGAAAGAAACUUGGAAUUGUUGUCUUGUGAAGCAAAUGUAUUGAUUACACUAGGAGACAAAGGGUGGAGAGAAUAUGGGGCACAAGUUGUUUUGGAGCUUUCUGAUCAUAACGAGUGGAAGCUUGCUGUAAAACUUUCAGGAACUACAAAGUAUUCAUACAAGGCACAUCAAUUUCUUCAGCCUGGAUCAACCAACCGGUACACACAUGCUAUGAUGUGGAAAGGAGGAAAGGAUUGGAUAUUGGAGUUUUCUGAUAGGAGUCAGUGGGCUCUUUUCAAAGAGAUGCAUGAAGAAUGCUACAAUCGGAAUAUCCAUGCAGCAUCAGUUAAAAACAUUCCUAUUCCUGGGGUUCGCUUGAUCGAGGAACAUGAUGAUAAUGGAAUUGAAGUUCCAUUUAUUCGACAUUCUUCUAAGUACUUCCGGCAGGUUGAAACUGAUGUUGAGAUGGCUUUGAAUCCAUCACGAUUGCUAUAUGACAUUGAUAGUGAUGAUGAGCAGUGGAUAUCAAAUAAUUUAUCUUCUUUAGAAGUUUUCAACAGCAAUUCAUGGGAGAUCUCUGAGGAAAUUUUUGAGAAGACAAUGGACUUAUUUGAGAAGGCUGCAUAUUCUCAACACCGCGACCAAUUUACAUCCGAUGAAAUAGAAGAGCUCAUGGCUGGAGUGGGCUCGAUGGAAGCAAUAAAAGUUAUCCAUGACUAUUGGCAGCAGAAGAGGCAGAGAAAGGGAAUGCCUUUAAUCCGUCAUCUGCAGCCACCGCUUUGGGAAAGGUAUCAGCAACAGGUUAGGGAGUGGGAGCUGAAAAUGACAAAGAGUAACACUGCCCUCCUUAAUGGAUGCCAUAAGAAGGGUGCACCUAUUGAGAAGCCUCCCAUGUUUGCUUUCUGCUUGAAGCCACGGGGUUUAGAGUUGCCCAACAGGGGAUCUAAACAAAGGGCACAAAGGAAAGUUUCAAUUACAGGUCAAAGGAAUACCUUAUUGGGAGAUCAUGACAGCUUCCAUGCUUAUGGAAGAAGAUCAAAUGGGUUUGCUUCUGGGGAUGAAAAGGUCUUGUACCAAGGACAUAAUUAUGAACCUUUAGAUGAUUCUCCACUGUCUCAGAUAUCACCAAGGGUAUUUUCACCACGGGAUGCUGGCGGAAAAGGAUAUUAUUCAGUGAGCAGUGAUAGGUAUGAACGGAAUCACAUCCAGAAACUUCAUAGGAGUAAGUCAAGGAAACCUGGGGCAUAUGUCUUUCCUCAUGAUACCCAGAUGGUUGCUGCAUAUGAUGAGCAAUUUUUUGACAAGAGAAAUGGAUUCCAUCGGUGGAAUAUGGGCUUUUCUGAAUGGCCAAGCCAGCGUCAUUACUACUUAGAUGGGGCCCCUAGUCAUUGCCCUAAGCAGUUCAAUUAUUCAGAUCUUGAUGAAUUCAGGUUGCGUGAUGCUUCUGGUGCAGCACAGUAUGCACGUAAUAUGGCUAAACUCAAGAGAGAAAAGGCUCAGAGAUUGCUUUACAGGGCGGAUCUAGCCAUUCACAAGGCUGUGGUGGCCCUCAUGACUGCUGAGGCGAUUAAAGUUUCUUCUGAGGAUUUGAAUAGUGAUGGGUAGAAUGAGAGAAGGAAGAUGAGAUGACAAGUGUAGGAAAUCUGCCAGCCCCUCCAGCUUGCAGUGCUAAAGCCUGAGUUUCCAGUUAUUAGAAUUUUUGCUGGAGGAACGUGGUGUUUCAUUUCUCGGUGACAGGUGCACUUUCUGUCAUUUACCACUGCUUCCAGAGGGCUUCUAACAGGAGGGUAUUGCAGGUAGAGAGGAGAAAUUUUUUUGCUUCUGCCUCUUUUUGUUGUUGUCAUGGCAGUUUUGGUACGACUUCACAGUUUCUUUCUGCCCGCUAGGUUUUUUGUCCCGGCAGCAGGUUCAUGUGCACUGACCCUGCAGUGAUGUUGCAUGGAAAACAGAUGUAAGAAACCAAGUCAAAGAUUAUCCAUUUAGGAUAUGACUUGAUAACUUAACAGAGAGAAGUUUCUGAGGACCCGUACACCAGUUCUGCUGUUUGCUUAUUGGAGUAAUAAUUUCCGGAGCGAAUGUCUCUUUGGUCGUCUAGGUCAUUUAUUAUUUGUUUUGUUACUCGAAAUCUCCUAACCUUGUUUGUUUGUAUCUCAAUGCGAAAUACUGUCAGUUUUGAGGAUUUUUUUCGCAAUCAUUAUUGCAGAGUAUUUUGGUCUAAGAUUGGCUCAUUAUAAAUGGGUGGGUAUAACAUUCCAUUUUGGUGGCCUAUCCAUGACUAGCACUCAGAUUGAUUUCUGUGUCCAUUGUAAUUUCAAUGUUAGAAUGCAGUUUGUUCUUUUUCUUU